UACGUUGAUUUCCCGCUGAACUUAAGCAUAUCACUAAGCGGAGGAAAAGAAACUAACCAGGAUUCCCUUAGUAACGGCGAGUGAACAGGGAAAAGCCCAGCACCGAAGCCUGUGGUCAUUUGGCCCCUAGGCAAUGUGGUGUUCAGGUUAGCUCGCGAAGAUGCUGCUCCACCCUAAGUCCUAUAAUGAGUAAGGUUACUCGGACAUGGCCCAAUGAGGGUGAAAGGCCCGUGGGGGUGGAGAUUCAGAAUGGCCAGUAUCUUCCUGAGCAGACCUUGGAGUCGGGUUGUUUGUGAAUGCAGCCCAAAGCGGGUGGUAAACUCCAUCCAAGGCUAAAUACUAGCACGAGUCCGAUAGCGAACAAGUACCGUGAGGGAAAGUUGAAAAGUACUUUGAAGAGAGAGUAAACAGUGCGUGAAACCGUUCAGAGGUAAACAGGUGGAGUUGAACUGCAAGCUCUGAGGAUUCAGCUGGUGAGUAUGGCAUGAGCUUGGUCAUAUUGGUUGUGUGCUCGGGUCUGCUUAGCUGCAGGUCCCCGCUUCGGUGGGGAUGCGCGAAUCACUCAUCAGGUGUGUGCGCCCGUACACAGGCAC
rnacentral:rRNA from 1 species